AAGGCCCAACCGAAAGCACAUGCACGCGCCUUCCGCCACCGCUCACGAGCAAACCGUGACAGCCAAGGGACCGGCGGCCACACCCACCCCCACCCGAGCCUCGGACGGUCGGACCGCACACAGCCACUGAAAACCGCUGCUGCAUUUCCGUCCGUCCGUCCGUCCGCCCGCGCCACUCCACACUCCCCUCCCCGUGCAGCGCAAGCGCAGACCCAGCUGCACUGCACAGCUCGUGCCACCGGCCCGGCUCAUCACCCAUCCCAUCACCACCCUCGGCCUCGCCGAGGCUGCCGCACCGCACCGCACCGCGGGCAAGCCCCCCCCCCGAUCCGCUUUCUCCGGCACCGUACUAAAACCCCGCGCCCCNNN
rnacentral:lncRNA from 1 species